CCACGGAAACUCCUGCAGGGUGAGAGCCUCGCCUUAUCGCAUCUUCAUCCAUGGACAAUCCACAAUAAAGACCUGGAACUUGUAGAAGCAACUGGAAGCAAACAAGAGCCAUCACUGUUACACAGGGCAGGUGAAUAGAGAGGAAGAAGGCUACACUAAUGGCAGAUAUUCUUCCAGAGACUCCCUACCUACGAAAUCAAGCAGAGGCAGGCAUAGACAGGCAUACCUGUGCUGGAUUUCUACCUAAAUAACACGAGCAGGAAUGUGUCAGUCCAUAGCAUCACUGUCAUGGAACAGUGAGACAUACCUGUGCCUGCUGAAAGUGUUGCAGAAAGAACCGCUACGGUUUUUAUACUCACAUAAGCCUGGAAGCUGAGAAAUAUAUUUGCAAAUACAAUGGACUUUUUCUUCCAAUAAACCAUUCUUAGUCUUUCAAAGAGCAAUAUAGACUUAAGUAAAAUUCUCUUUAGUAUUUUCAUUAAGUGCUAUUUUGCACCACAAUUCGCACAACAAAUAAUUAAGUCCUAAUAUCAUAAACACAUUAAGUUUUCCCCAUCUCUCUCAUAUAUCUGGAUUUAUGAUUUAGAGUUCUAAAAGGGCAGUAAAUACGUCUGGAACACCUUUUCCCUUUGAGUAGGUCUGUCAGAAUAGAGAAAUAACCUAGUUUGGUAAAAGACAAGAAAGUAAAGCUAUUCAGUCCUUUCUAAUUACACUAGUUGUUUGUAACUACAGACAAUUUUUUCCUAAUCACGGGAAAUGGAAGUUUUACUUUAGUUUCAUUCACAUUCAUAUUUAUUUAUUAUUGCUAUUGUUGUCUUGGUAUAGAAUCCUCAACCCACUCAUUUCUAUUACAGAAAAUUUCCUUAGAACUUUUAUUUACAUACAAAGAAAUAAAAACAGCUUUUGAUCCAACUGCA